rnacentral:rRNA from 1 species
CGCGAAUAGCUCAUUACAACAGCUAUAAUUUACUUGAAUUUGACAACCCUACUUGGAUACCGGUGGUAAUUCUAGCGCUAAUACAUGCACCAAAGCUCCGACCGCGAGGGAAGAGCGCAUUUAUUAGAACAAAACCACACGGCUUCGGCCGUCCAAUGUUGACUCAGAAUAACUAAGCUGAUCGCAUGGUCUUGCACCGGCGACGUUUCUUUCAAGUAUCUGCCUUAUCAACUUUCGAUGGUAGUGUAUCUGACUACCAUGGUGAUGACGGGUAACGGAGGAUAAGGGUUCGACUCCGGAGAAGGGGCCUGAGAAAUGGCCACUACGUCUAAGGAUGGCAGCAGGCGCGCAAAUUACCCACUCUCAGUACGAGGAGGUAGUGACGAGAAAUAACAAGACCGUUCUCACAAGAGGCCGGUCAUUGGAAUGGGUACAAUUUAAACCCUUUAACGAGUAUCUAUGAGAGGGCAAGUCCGGUGCCAGCAGCCGCGGUAAUUCCAGCU